rnacentral:piRNA from 1 species
UGUGUGGUACGUUGAUGAUGUCACG